GGACCGGUAGCUCAGUGGUAGAGCAGCUGACUCUUAAUCAGCGGGUCGAGGGUUCGAAACCCUCCCGGUUCA